rnacentral:rRNA from 1 species
UACGAAGGGGGCUAGCGUUGCUCGGAAUCACUGGGCGUAAAGGGUGCGUAGGCGGGUCUUUAAGUCAGGGGUGAAAUCCUGGAGCUCAACUCCAGAACUGCCUUUGAUACUGAGAUCUUGAGUACAGGAGAGGUGAGUGGAACUGCGAGUGUAGAGGUGAAAUUCGUAGAUAUUGGGAAGAACACCAGUGGCGAAGGCGGCUAACUGGUCCAGCACUGACGCUGAGGUGCGAAAGCGAUGGGGAG